rnacentral:rRNA from 1 species
GGUUAAGCGACUAAGCGUACACGGUGGAUGCCCUGGCAGUCAGAGGCGAUGAAGGGCGUGCUAAUCUGCGAUAAGCGCCGGUAAGGUGAUAUGAACCGUUAUAACCGGCGAUACCCGAAUGGGGAAACCCAGUGUGAUUCGUCACACUAUCAUUAACUGAAUCCAUAGGUUAAUGAGGCGAACCGGGGGAACUGAAACAUCUAAGUACCCCGAGGAAAAGAAAUCAACCGAGAUUCCCCCAGUAGCGGCGAGCGAACGGGGAGGAGCCCAGAGCCUGAAUCAGCAUGUGUGUUAGUGGAAGCGUCUGGAAAGGCGCGCGAUACAGGGUGACAGCCCCGUACACAAAAGCGUAUGUGCUGUGAGCUCGAUGAGUAGGGCGGGACACGUGGUAUCCUGUCUGAAUAUGGGGGGACCAUCCUCCAAGGCUAAAUACUCCUGACUGACCGAUAGUGAACCAGUACCGUGAGGGAAAGGCGAAAAGAACCCCGGCGAGGGGAGUGAAAAAGAACCUGAAACCGUGUACGUACAAGCAGUGGGAGCACCCUUUGGGGUGUGACUGCGUACCUUUUGUAUAAUGGGUCAGCGACUUAUAUUCUGUAGCAAGGUUAACCGAAUAGGGGAGCCGGAGGGAAACCGAGUCUUAAUUGGGCGUUAAGUUGCAGGGUAUAGACCCGAAACCCGGUGAUCUAGCCAUGGGCAGGUUGAAGGUUGGGUAACACUAACUGGAGGACCGAACCGACUAAUGUUGAAAAAUUAGCGGAUGACCUGUGGCUGGGGGUGAAAGGCCAAUCAAACCGGGAGAUAGCUGGUUCUCCCCGAAAGCUAUUUAGGUAGCGCCUCGUGAAUUCAUCUCCGGGGGUAGAGCACUGUUUCGGCUAGGGGGUCAUCCCGACUUACCAACCCGAUGCAAACUGCGAAUACCGGAGAAUGUUAUCACGGGAGACACACGGCGGGUGCUAACGUCCGUCGUGAAGAGGGAAACAACCCAGACCGCCAGCUAAGGUCCCAAAGUCAUGGUUAAGUGGGAAACGAUGUGGGAAGGCCCAGACAGCCAGGAUGUUGGCUUAGAAGCAGCCAUCAUUUAAAGAAAGCGUAAUAGCUCACUGGUCGAGUCGGCCUGCGCGGAAGAUGUAACGGGGCUAAACCAUGCACCGAAGCUGCGGCAGCGACACUCAGG